rnacentral:lncRNA from 1 species
UCAGUUAGGAUGAGCAUAUCAAGGAUAGACUGCCGAGGAAACGUGUAAAAUGAUCCACUAGGAAAAAAAUAGAGGAAGUAAAUUACUAUUACCGGGUAUUGGGUAAAAGCAAAGUACUCGCAAAUCAAAGAGAAUAUUACCUGUUACUGGGUAAUAGACUUUCGAGGGACCAAAAGCAUCUAUCUAGUUAAGAGCUAGAAAGAAACGGUUAACCAAAGACUCGACCAAAUGAGG